rnacentral:lncRNA from 1 species
CAUAGAUAUCUUAUAUACACUAGAUAGCGCAUCUAUUUUAGUAAAAUUGAAGCCAAGAAUAUUCCAGCGGUUACCCCCAUUUGAAUAGAUGGCGGCCAUGUUGGUCGUUCCCACUUCCUAGUAAACGCUUAAAAACAACAAUAACUUUCAUCAUUUGAAUAGUUUAAAAACGUAUUUGGAAUAGGGUUAACUUCAUGUUUAAGUUCCGUGUUUAAGAAAUAGAAAAUAUACGAAUCUUCUCAUUUCAUGGGAACGACCUGAGUCUGCAAUCACGGCUUCAAUUUUUGAAUUGCAGAAUAAUUAGAUGCACUAUCUAGUGUAGAUAAGAUAUCUAUG